UCAUUAAAAAUCCGUAUAUUAAUGAAAACUUUGAUUUUUUCUUUUUCUCGAAAAGGCUUGGUGGACUCUUUCUUUGUCUAAUUGCCUUCCCAAAAGACCAACAAAACCUCCACACACACACAAACACAACAAACACGAUGAUAAGAAAGCAGCCGCAUGCUCAAAACGAAAGCCAUAAACAUAAAAGCCUCUCUCUCUCUCUCUCUCUCUCUCUCUCUCUCUCUCUCACAAACAUCAAGUCAUCAAGACUUUCCUUAUUUGGUUGUUCAGGGGAUGAAAGGUCGCCGUUUCUGCACUGUGGAGUUGCUCAGGAAACGUCAGGUCUCUCUCUGGCAACGUGUCACCGACAACUGUACGUCUUCUGCUGCAUGAUGCAGAGAGAGAAAAGAGGUGGAGAAGGAGAUAAGAUCAUAAGUAGCAGUGAAUGAAGAGAGAGGGAGGGAGAGAGAGAGAGAGACACAGAGAGAGGGAAGAGAAGGGUACACAGCUUUUUGGUAUUGGGUUUUGUGGAGGUUGUUUCUCUUUUUUAUUUCUUUUCUUUCUUGGCCUGCAGAGCAAACCCUAAAUCCUCAUUGGCGUCUUACCCAUUGAUUUUUCUUACACCAAAACAGCAGGAACCGUAGAUUUUUGCGGCUUUUGGUAGGUUUCCUUAUAUGGGUUUCUUUCUGUGUUCUCAGAUCUGACUCACAUAACAUCGAUCAUUCUCUUUCUCUCGGGUUACCUUUUUCUAGUUUUGCUUUCCUCCCAGUUUCCACUCCCUUCGUUUCUUUGUUAUUAAUCAAACUUUGCGAUUUGUGACUUUAAUUUAUUGUGCCGUUGGUUGUGAAUUUGGUUGGAACAGAGAUGGAAAUUGACAGAAGAGAGUGAGCACACAGAGGCACUUGGCAUAAAGCGUAUGCUAUUGCUUUUGCGUGCUCAUGUCUCUUUCUGUCAGCUUCCCAGUUCCACUGCCGGAUUAUUUUAAUUUCUUAUUUACUUCUCAUCCAUCUCUGGCCUGUGUUUCUUCCACUACUUGUAUUCUCUCUCUCUCUCUCUCUCUCUCUCUCUCUCUCUCUCUCUCUCUCCAAAUCUUUAAUCUUAAAGCCUUUGUGGGGCUUCAAAGCAACGCUUAAUUUGCUACUUUGAAAUCGGUAAGUGAUGAUUAUAUUAUAUAUAAAAAUUGUUUGACAAUAUCGAAGCAUCAACUAAUACCUUGAAAGCGUGACUUUUGAUGGUGUUUUUCACGAAGCUACACAUAUAUUUGACAUUUACUGUGCGAAAUUAGCGGCAAAAACCUGGUAAUCAAGCAUAGAAUUAGCAUGGGAAUGGGAAUUUUGAAUGGGACCAUUCACGUUAUCUAUCUAGCUUAGUAUGGUCCUCCUAUUCUUCAUCGUCUUUCUAAUUCUCUAUUUGAUCUCCAUUUUUAAUUCCUGCGCAUGCGAUGUUCUUGACCCAAGAAUUGCUUCUGCUUGGACUUAAUUUGUUUUUUCUUCUUCUUCACCUGAAUCUAGUGCUUGUACUGUGCACCUACCAAGCUAGUUCGAAUGGAUAUAUACAUAUAUAUAUAUAUAUAUAUGUAUAUAUGUUUUCUUUAUGGGUUUUUAUACAACCCUAUUUAGCUGCUCGAAUAGGGUUGCUUUUGCUUGUUUGUACAAUUUGAUUACAAAUGGUUUUUCCAAUCACUAGUCUUUGAUCUGGAUUUUUAUCGAACCCGGUACUUAAUUUCACACCCACUGCACAUUGGGUGUUUAUAUAUUUCUCGAAAUAUUGUGAUUUAAUGUGAUGAUUUAAGGGGUUAGAAUUUGCUUUUGUUAUCUGUGACUGGUUUGUCUAGUUGAUUUUGCAGGAACGCUUAAGGAUUCAUUUUCGAACCGUCAACACAUUAUCAAGUUGAAGUUGGUUUCAUAUGUAAGACAGACUGAUUAAUUUCGAGAUGAAAGAGGCUUUUGGCAAACCAAUAAUACUGAGAAAGACUGGAUAUUAUCGCCGUGCUGUCGAUGCUUGAUCAUCAAUAAUAAUCACCUUGUGCUGUUGGACGUUAACCUUGGAGCUAGCUCUCGUCCGUAGCAGCGGAUGAAGUCAAAACAAUAUCUUUAUAAACAGUUCGUCUAUAAAUCAGUAGCUGUAAUGUAAAAGCACAGUUUGUUUUUUAUAUCUAUUUUGAUUUUGAUUUGUGAAGAAAUUCGAUUUUGGAGGUGGUUUUUCUUUCUGUUUUAGAAGCAAGGAAACAGUAAUAUGCAGAAAGUUGGCCUUCAUUGAAUAUGUAGUGAUUUCUUCUUCUCUUUUUA